CAAGUAUCUCGCGCAAUUCAUCUCGUGAAAUCGAAAUGACAGCAAAUGGGAAUUAUUGUGUUAUUGCAUUUUAUCCAUAGAGAACGCAGAAUGACACACAAUCGGAAAAUUAUUUAAAUCUCUAUCGAUUUGCGCCCUAUGUAUCUUCAGUGUAAUUCUGAUAAAUAAGCGAUCUGCGUAUCUUCUAUGAUUCUACGGGAUUCUUGAGUACGGAAUUCACUUGCUGGGCGAUUGUCAAACUAUAGACGAUUGCUAAGUUCUUGCUGAUGAGGACGCCAAAAUGGACAUCCAAAGUUGCCAUUAUGGAUCCAUUACGCCAAGUUGUGAUUAUCCUGUAAUUGCACUACUGCACGUUCUAACAAUGUAACAUUAAUCAGAAGUUCGGCUCGUCGUCAUUACGGAACGACAAAGCCAUUAACAUGGUUGCAACCGCGAGUGGAUAGGCAUUAAUGGUAGCGCGAGGAUAAAUGUAUUUGGGGAAAAUGUUCCAAAAGUUACCAGCCGGGGAAUAACUGGAAAGUUAUACUUCAAUGAAUUUACAACGCGCGGUGGUAUAUGCGAAACCGCCCUGGUCGGUGGUUGAAAUCGAUCGAGAGGAAAUAACUAUCUGUAAAUGCCUUUUUAAUCCGAAUCGCCGCGCUUAUCUGCUUACGGUCCUCCAUAUAACUUCACGUGAGAACAGCAACAAUCUCUGAAUUUGCUACAUCUGCAAUGAUAAAAAUAAACGGAAAAUUUUCAAUCACUUUGCAAAUACAAUUUUU